CCCUUCUCAGGGUCGCACCUGGAGAGUUUCCAGUACUCUCUCAGCCUCAACUACGGGAGGAAGACUCAAGCAGAGACAUAACCAUUCCAUUCCUAGCUUGGGCAGUGGCUAGCGAGUGGAAGGAAAUCUGCUACAAAU